AAUGAACGUUGGCGGCGUGGAUUAGGCAUGCAAGUCGUACGAGAAUCGUAGCAAUACGGGGAAAGUGGCGGAAGGGAGAGGAUUACGUGGGAAUCUACCCUCAGAACUGGGAUAGCGGCGGGAAACUGCCGGUAAUACCAGAUAAUGUCUGUGGACCAAAGGUGUGAUUCCGUCGGGGGGUGAGCCCACGUCCUAUUAGCUAGUUGGCAGGGUAAUGGCCUACCAAGGCAAUGAUGGGUAGCGGGUGUGAGAGCAUGACCCGCCUCACUGGGACUGAGAACUGCCCAGACACCUACGGGUGGCUGCAGUCGAGAAUCUUCGGCAAUGAGCGCAAGCUUGACCGAGCGACGCCGCGUGCGGGAUGAAGGCCUUCGGGUUGUAAACCGCUGUCGUAGGGGAGCAAGAGAUGAGGGUACUCCCUCUGAUUUGAGCGAUCCUAGGAGGAAGGACGGGCUAAGUUCGUGCCAGCCGCCGCCGUAA
rnacentral:rRNA from 1 species